rnacentral:rRNA from 1 species
UGCCAGACUCCUACGGGAGGCAGCAGUGGGGAAUAUUGCACAAUGGGGGAAACCCUGAUGCAGCGACGCCGCGUGAGCGAUGAAGUAUUUCGGUAUGUAAAGCUCUAUCAGCAGGGAAGAAAAUGACGGUACCUGACUAAGAAGCCCCGGCUAACUACGUGCCAGCAGCCGCGGUAAUACGUAGGGGGCAAGCGUUAUCCGGAUUUACUGGGUGUAAAGGGAGCGUAGACGGCAAUGCAAGCCAGAUGUGAAAGCCCGGGGCUCAACCCCGGGACUGCAUUUGGAACUGUGUAGCUGGAGUGUCGGAGAGGCAGGCGGAAUUCCUAGUGUAGCGGUGAAAUGCGUAGAUAUUAGGAGGAACACCAGUGGCGAAGGCGGCCUGCUGGACGAUGACUGACGUUGAGGCUCGAAAGCGUGGGGAGCAAACAGGAUUAGAUACCCCCGUAU